UACGAAGGGGGCUAGCGUUGUUCGGAAUUACUGGGCGUAAAGCGCACGUAGGCGGCUUGGUAAGUUAGAGGUGAAAGCCUGGAGCUCAACUCCAGAAUUGCCUUUAAGACUGCCGAGCUAGCAGGUGAGAGAGGUGAGUGGAAUUCCGAGUGUAGAGGUGAAAUUCGUAGAUAUUCGGAAGAACACCAGUGGCGAAGGCGGCUCACUGGCUCAUACUGGACGCUGAGGUGCGAAAGCGUGGGGAGCAAACAGG
rnacentral:rRNA from 1 species